rnacentral:rRNA from 1 species
AGCGAACGCUGGCGGCAGGCCUAACACAUGCAAGUCGAACGAACUCUUCGGAGUUAGUGGCGGACGGGUGAGUAACACGUGGGAACGUGCCUUUUGGUUCGGAAUAACUCAGGGAAACUUGUGCUAAUACCGAAUGUGCCCUUCGGGGGAAAGAUUUAUCGCCAUUAGAGCGGCCCGCGUCUGAUUAGCUAGUUGGUGAGGUAACGGCUCACCAAGGCGACGAUCAGUAGCUGGUCUGAGAGGAUGACCAGCCACACUGGGACUGAGACCCGGCCCAGACUCCUACGGGAGGCAGCAGUGGGGAAUCGUGCGCAAUGGGCGAAAGCCUGACGCAGCCAUGCCGGGUGAAUGAUGAAGGUCUUAGGAUUGUAAUAUUCUUUCACCGGGGACGAUAAUGACGGUACCCGGAGAAGAAGCCCCGGCUAACUUCGUG